rnacentral:rRNA from 1 species
CCUACGGGAGACAGCAGUGAGGAAUAUUGGACAAUGGGCGGAAGCCUGAACUAGCCAAGUCGCGUGCGGGAUUAAGGCCCUAUGGGUCGUAAACCUCUUUUGUCAGGGAGCAAUGCAGUCCACGUGUGCGCGUAUGGAGAGUCCCUGCAGACAAAGCAUCGGCAAACUCCGUGCCAGCAGGCGCGGGAAUACGGAGGAUUCGAGCGUGCUCCGGAUUUAUUGGGUGUAAAGGGUGCGUAGUCGGGACCUUAAGUCAGCGGUAAAAGUGCGGUGCUAAACGCCGUAGAGCCGUUGAAACUGGGGGUCUUGAGUGAGCGAGAAGUAUGCGGAAUGCGUGGUGUAGCGGUGAAAUGCAUAGAUAUCACGCAGAACCCCGAUUGCGAAGGCAGCAUACCGGAGCUCAACUGACGCUGAGGCACGAAAGUGAGGGUAUCGAACAGGAUUAGAUACCCGUGUAGUC